ACUGAACUCCAAUUUGCUUAAAAAGUCUAGAAGUUAAAUAAUGGAAGGUUGGAUCAUGAUUUCAUGGCAGAUCAGGAAAUGGAGAGAGAAAAAUUACAGCACGCCAAAGAGGACUUAUUCAAGAAGACCUGUCCAUGAAACACAAUUCCAGAUGGGUAACACAGAAC
ensembl:lincRNA